UACAGAGGUCUCAAGCGUUGUUCGGAUUCAUUGGGCGUAAAGGGUGUGUAGGUGGCGCCGUAAGUCGGGUGUGAAAUUUCGGAGCUUAACUCCGAAACUGCAUUCGAUACUGCGGUGCUCGAGGACUGGAGAGGAGACUGGAAUUCAUGGUGUAGCAGUGAAGUGCGUAGAGAUCAUGAGGAAGACCAGUGGCGAAGGCGGGUCUCUGGACAGUUCCUGACACUGAGGCACGAAGGCCAGGGGAGCAAACGGG
rnacentral:rRNA from 1 species